rnacentral:rRNA from 1 species
AGCUCGGCUCGACUCUCCCACCCUAUGUGUACCUACCUCUGUUGCUUUGGCGGGCCGCGGUCCUCCGCACCGGCGCCCUUCGGGGGGCUGGCCAGCGCCCGCCAGAGGACCAUAAAACUCCAGUCAGUGAACUUCGCAGUCUGAAAAACAAGUUAAUAAACUAAAACUUUCAACAACGGAUCUCUUGGUUCUGGCAUCGAUGAAGAACGCAGCGAAAUGCGAUAAGUAAUGUGAAUUGCAGAAUUCAGUGAAUCAUCGAAUCUUUGAACGCACAUUGCGCCCCUUGGUAUUCCGAGGGGCAUGCCUGUUCGAGCGUCAUUUCAACCCUCAAGCUCUGCUUGGUAUUGGGCCCCGUCCUCCACGGACGCGCCUUAAAGACCUCGGCGGUGGCGUCUUGCCUCAAGCGUAAUAGAAAACACCUCGCUUUGGAGCGCACGGCGUCGCCCGCCGGACGAACCUUUGAAUUAUUUCUCAAGGUUGACCUCGGAUCAGGUAGGGAUACCCGCUGAACUUAAGCAUAUCAAUAAGCGGAGGAAG